rnacentral:tRNA from 1 species
AGAGUAUAGCUCUGUGGCAGAGCGUACGCUUAGCAUGCACGAGGUCCUGGGUUCAAUCCCCAGUGCCUCUA